CAGUCGCCGCGGUAAUACGAAGGGGGCUAGCGUUGCUCGGAAUUACUGGGCGUAAAGGGCGCGUAGGCGGACAGUUCAGUCGGGGGUGAAAGCCCGGGGCUCAACCUCGGAAUUGCCUUCGAUACUGGCUGUCUUGAGUAUGAGAGAGGUGUGUGGAACUCCGAGUGUAGAGGUGAAAUUCGUAGAUAUUCGGAAGAACACCAGUGGCGAAAGCGGCUUCCUGGUCCAGCACCGACGUUCAGGCACGAAAGCGUGGGGAGCAAACAGGAUUAGAUACCCGGGUAGUCCCUGUCUCUUAUAC
rnacentral:rRNA from 1 species